rnacentral:rRNA from 1 species
UCAGAAUCGACUUUUUCUUGGGUGUAUAACGUAUGUUAGGCUUAGGCUAUGUAACCGCACACAAGGUACAGGUGAAAGCACGUCAUCUUCUGACCUUGCGCAAUUGACUGAGCCGAUGUCGGAUUAUCUAGUUGGCGGGGUAAAGGCCCACCACGGCCACGAUCCGUACCUAGUCUGAGAGGAUGAUCACUCCACACUGGAACUGAGACACGGUCCCGACUCCUACGGGAGGCAGCAAUGGGGAAUAUUGGACAAUGGGCGCAAGCCUGAUCCGCCCAUACCGCGUGGGUGAAGAACGCCUUCGGGUUGUAAUAGCCCUUUUGUUGAGAAAGAAAUCCAUCCGGCUAAUACCUGGUUGGGAUGACGGUACCCAAAGAAUAAGCACCGGCUAACUUCGUGCCAGCAGCCGCGGUAAUACUAAGGGUGCAAGCGUUACUCGGAAUUACUGGGCGUAAAGCGUGCGUAUGUGGUUGUUUAAGUCUGUUGUGAAAGCCCUGGGCUCAACCUGGGAACUGCAGUGGAAACUGUACAACUAGAGUGUGGUAGAGGUAUCGGAAUUCCCGGUGUAGCAGUGAAAUGCGUAGAGAUCGGGAGGAACAUCCAUGGCGAAGACACCUACCUGGACCAACACUGACACUGAGGCACAAAGCGUGGGGAGCAACAGGAUUACAUACCCUGGUAGUCCACGCCCUAAACAUAGCGAACUGGAUGUUGGUGCAUUUGCCCCCUAUCAAACUAACCUUUAUUCCC